UUUGUACAAUAUUAUCCUUUUGGCUAACAUAAUGUUUUGAAACAUACAAUUUCACAAUGCUUACCUUAUCUUUUAAUUUGCCUCACUAUUUCCCUAGACAUAAUUACAACUCAAUUCCAACUAUUGUCAGCUUAUCGCAACCCUCCUCCUUUAUCACAACUGAUAAAUCGAGCACCAGACAGAUUCUGGUAUCCGUAUUUUGUCGUGCUAGGAGAAGAGUUAUAUACGAUAACGAUAAUGAAGAAGAAGAUGAAGAUAAUAAUAAUAACAAUGUUGAAUUAGCAAUGUUAGAAUUUUAUAGUCAAUCUAUGAGAAAUGAAGCUCUUCUUGUGAAAGCUAUUGUGGAUGAGGAAGAAGUGGAAGUUCUAAUCUUUAAGGGUUUUUCAUCAUGCUUGAGUUAUAGAACAAGUUCAGAUCCAUCAAAAAGUGUGUUACCAGCAAGGGCAGUGAUCAAAUGUAUAGACAGAAUAAAAGGACCAUUUGACCCCUCUAAUAUUGUUUAUUUGGAGAAAGGAUUGAAUUUUGAGUCCUUCAAAGAUAGGAUUCUAUCAAAGGAAAAAUAGGGAUGGCAAUAGGACGGGGCGAGUUUGGAACAGACAGGGCGAGUUUAAGCUUAUGCGAAGCGAUUUGAAAUUGUAAUAGGGUUAAAAUUGAAUAGGACGAGACGAGUCUGGAACAGAAGGGGGGAGUUUAAGCUUAUGCGAGGCGAUCUGAAAUUGUAGUGCCCGCUCCGUCCUGUCCCGUUGAGAUCUCUGUAGACAAGUACAAAUUAAGGAAAAGAGAGAAGAAACGGAAAGGGAAAAAGAAGGAACCGGACAAACAAAGGAAGGGAGCAAAAAAGAAUCAGCCACACAGCUUUGGAAGGCCUUCCAAUUCGCGUUCAGAGUCUAUACUUUCGCUGGUGGACAAGACGAGAGAGCAGAAAAGUUGACAAAAGAAUUGGCUGAAGUAAUCGAGACAGACCUUCAUCUUCAGACGUAAUAGUAGGCUCCCCAUUUUUUUCCAUAGGCUGCAAUCGAUCAUGCAAUCAGCAUGUUGAUACUAUUCCUGGCUAGCGCCUUGUACGUGCAUGCUGCAUAAACUGCGAUGUUCAUGCUUAUACCAGGAGAGAAUUGCUAGAUGAAAAUGUUGUUAUUUGUAAAGACUGAGAGGAGAAAUUGAGCUAAAACUCUAGCUUUUACCUGUCACUGUUGAUACAUAAAAAAAAAGGACAGCCCGGUGCACUAAAGCUACCUCUAUGCACAGUGUCCGGGGAAGGACCCCAUCACAAUCACUGUUGAUACAUAAAAAAAGGGCAGUCUGGUGCACUAAAGCUACCUAUGCACAGUGUCCGGGGAAGGACCCCACCACAAUCACUGUUGAUACAUAACAAAUAUAUAUAACACCUUUGUGACUGGUUUUGUAGCAUGGGUA